rnacentral:rRNA from 1 species
GCUCCUGGAAUAAGGGCCUGGGCAAGACCGGUGCCAGCCGCCGCGGUAACACCGGCAGCUCGAGUGGUAGUCGCGUUUAUUGGGCCUAAAAGCGUCCCGUAGCCCGGUCCGAUAAUUCUCUGGUGAAAUCCCACAGCUCAAACUGUGGGAAUCGCGGGAGAUAUUAUCGGACUUGAGGCCGGGAGAGGUAAGAGGUACUCCCAGGGUAGGGGUGAAAUCCUAUAAUCCUGGGGGGACCACCUGUGGCGAAGGCGUCCAGCUGGAACGGACCUGACGGUGAGGGACGAAAGCCAGGGGCGCGAACCGGAUUAGAUACCCGGGUAGUCCUGGCCGUAAACGAUGCGGACAGGUUCAGGCAGGCUUUGACCUGUUCCAGUGCCGCAGGGAAGCUGUUAAGUCAGCCGCCUGGGAGGUACGGCCGCAAGGCUGAAACUUAAAGGAAUUGGCGGGGGAGCACAACAACGGGUGGAGCCUGCGGUUUAAUUUGGAACUCAACGCCGGACAUCUCACCAGGAGCGACAGCAAUAUGUAUUCCC